UUAAGCGACUAAGCGUACACGGUGGAUGCCCUGGCAGUCAGAGGCGAUGAAGGACGUGCUAAUCUGCGAUAAGCGUCGGUAAGGUGAUAUGAACCGUUAUAACCGGCGAUUUCCGAAUGGGGAAACCCAGUGUGUUUCGACACACUAUCAUUAACUGAAUCCAUAGGUUAAUGAGGCGAACCGGGGGAACUGAAACAUCUAAGUACCCCGAGGAAAAGAAAUCAACCGAGAUUCCCCCAGUAGCGGCGAGCGAACGGGGAGCAGCCCAGAGCCUGAAUCAGUGUGUGUGUUAGUGGAAGCGUCUGGAAAGGCGCGCGAUACAGGGUGACAGCCCCGUACACAAAAAUGCACAUGCUGUGAGCUCGAUGAGUAGGGCGGGACACGUGGUAUCCUGUCUGAAUAUGGGGGGACCAUCCUCCAAGGCUAAAUACUCCUGACUGACCGAUAGUGAACCAGUACCGUGAGGGAAAGGCGAAAAGAACCCCGGCGAGGGGAGUGAAAAAGAACCUGAAACCGUGUACGUACAAGCAGUGGGAGCACGCUUAGGCGUGUGACUGCGUACCUUUUGUAUAAUGGGUCAGCGACUUAUAUUCUGUAGCAAGGUUAACCGAAUAGGGGAGCCGAAGGGAAACCGAGUCUUAACUGGGCGUUAAGUUGCAGGGUAUAGACCCGAAACCCGGUGAUCUAGCCAUGGGCAGGUUGAAGGUUGGGUAACACUAACUGGAGGACCGAACCGACUAAUGUUGAAAAAUUAGCGGAUGACUUGUGGCUGGGGGUGAAAGGCCAAUCAAACCGGGAGAUAGCUGGUUCUCCCCGAAAGCUAUUUAGGUAGCGCCUCGUGAAUUCAUCUCCGGGGGUAGAGCACUGUUUCGGCAAGGGGGUCAUCCCGACUUACCAACCCGAUGCAAACUGCGAAUACCGGAGAAUGUUAUCACGGGAGACACACGGCGGGUGCUAACGUCCGUCGUGAAGAGGGAAACAACCCAGACCGCCAGCUAAGGUCCCAAAGUCAUGGUUAAGUGGGAAACGAUGUGGGAAGGCCCAGACAGCCAGGAUGUUGGCUUAGAAGCAGCCAUCAUUUAAAGAAAGCGUAAUAGCUCACUGGUCGAGUCGGCCUGCGCGGAAGAUGUAACGGGGCUAAACCAUGCACCGAAGCUGCGGCAGCGACACUAUGUGUUGUUGGGUAGGGGAGCGUUCUGUAAGCCUGUGAAGGUGUACUGUGAGGUAUGCUGGAGGUAUCAGAAGUGCGAAUGCUGACAUAAGUAACGAUAAAGCGGGUGAAAAGCCCGCUCGCCGGAAGACCAAGGGUUCCUGUCCAACGUUAAUCGGGGCAGGGUGAGUCGACCCCUAAGGCGAGGCCGAAAGGCGUAGUCGAUGGGAAACAGGUUAAUAUUCCUGUACUUGGUGUUACUGCGAAGGGGGACGGAGAAGGCUAUGUUGGCCGGGCGACGGUUGUCCCGGUUUAAGCGUGUAGGCUGGUUUUCCAGGCAAAUCCGGAAAAUCAAGGCUGAGGCGUGAUGACGAGGCACUACGGUGCUGAAGCAACAAAUGCCCUGCUUCCAGGAAAAGCCUCUAAGCAUCAGGUAACAUCAAAUCGUACCCCAAACCGACACAGGUGGUCAGGUAGAGAAUACCAAGGCGCUUGAGAGAACUCGGGUGAAGGAACUAGGCAAAAUGGUGCCGUAACUUCGGGAGAAGGCACGCUGAUAUGUAGGUGAAGUCCCUCGCGGAUGGAGCUGAAAUCAGUCGAAGAUACCAGCUGGCUGCAACUGUUUAUUAAAAACACAGCACUGUGCAAACACGAAAGUGGACGUAUACGGUGUGACGCCUGCCCGGUGCCGGAAGGUUAAUUGAUGGGGUCAGCGCAAGCGAAGCUCUUGAUCGAAGCCCCGGUAAACGGCGGCCGUAACUAUAACGGUCCUAAGGUAGCGAAAUUCCUUGUCGGGUAAGUUCCGACCUGCACGAAUGGCGUAAUGAUGGCCAGGCUGUCUCCACCCGAGACUCAGUGAAAUUGAACUCGCUGUGAAGAUGCAGUGUACCCGCGGCAAGACGGAAAGACCCCGUGAACCUUUACUAUAGCUUGACACUGAACAUUGAGCCUUGAUGUGUAGGAUAGGUGGGAGGCUUUGAAGUGUGGACGCCAGUCUGCAUGGAGCCGACCUUGAAAUACCACCCUUUAAUGUUUGAUGUUCUAACGUUGACCCGUGAUCCGGGUUGCGGACAGUGUCUGGUGGGUAGUUUGACUGGGGCGGUCUCCUCCUAAAGAGUAACGGAGGAGCACGAAGGUUGGCUAAUCCUGGUCGGACAUCAGGAGGUUAGUGCAAUGGCAUAAGCCAGCUUGACUGCGAGCGUGACGGCGCGAGCAGGUGCGAAAGCAGGUCAUAGUGAUCCGGUGGUUCUGAAUGGAAGGGCCAUCGCUCAACGGAUAAAAGGUACUCCGGGGAUAACAGGCUGAUACCGCCCAAGAGUUCAUAUCGACGGCGGUGUUUGGCACCUCGAUGUCGGCUCAUCACAUCCUGGGGCUGAAGUAGGUCCCAAGGGUAUGGCUGUUCGCCAUUUAAAGUGGUACGCGAGCUGGGUUUAGAACGUCGUGAGACAGUUCGGUCCCUAUCUGCCGUGGGCGCUGGAGAACUGAGGGGGGCUGCUCCUAGUACGAGAGGACCGGAGUGGACGCAUCACUGGUGUUCGGGUUGUCAUGCCAAUGGCACUGCCCGGUAGCUAAAUGCGGAAGAGAUAAGUGCUGAAAGCAUCUAAGCACGAAACUUGCCCCGAGAUGAGUUCUCCCUGACCCUUUAAGGGUCCUGAAGGAACGUUGAAGACGACGACGUUGAUAGGCCGGGUGUGUAAGCGCAGCGAUGCGUUGAGCUAACCGGUACUAAUGAACCGUGAGGCUUAACCUU
rnacentral:rRNA from 1 species